AAGCAGGGACACAUUUAUUGGACACUAAUUAAGUGGGGCUUCGAUUUGUACGGCCGACAACUCCUCGCGCCGUGGCGAUGUUGCCGUUUCUUCCAAAUGGCUAAAAAACGUUUGUUUUAGCUUCGAAUUUAUUAAGUAAUAUGUACAAGGAAGUACAAAUGUUACUAUUGGUCCAGUGAUCUAUUUCCGCUUUUGAUCAGGAUUGUUGCUGACAGUCCGUGCGAAUGCAAAAGUGUAAGGGAGAUUAGGUUAUAAGUUAGAAAUGCUUAAAAUUAUAAUGUCACUUAAUUUUAGUUCGAUGAUUCGGCAAUGCUGCAGGCUGGUCCAGUGGAGCCAUCGAAGAUAAAAGUGGCUUGGGAUGCUGCGAAGACGUGGGAAACCGCGAGUUCUCGCGACCAUCUUCCCUGAUUUUAUUAGGAGAGCAGCGCCGUUUAUGUGGAACCGAGUUGAACGGUGACUACGUACGAAUCGGAGGUGCAGCAGCGGUGUUGCCAAAGUUUAGUUUUGGACAAAGGUUACAGGCUAAUGUGAGCUGCUAUUCGAUAUCCUUCAGGGUUUUUAGGGAAAAAACUUUUCCUAACUGUAUAGAGGAUUAUAGAUAAAAUUCACUACGUUGAAGUUCACGUGCUGGAACAUUCUGCGAUCCUGCUCCGUUAUAUAAAAAUUUUCUCGAAAAAGCCUCAAAACUGAAAGCCCGUCCCCCAAUACACAAAACCCACUCACUACAUUCAUGAUCUGUGGUCCCCUAUACAAAGACUGACUGUAUGAAUUGAAUUUUAUAUGUUGUGCAACUGCGAUAGCACGCGAGCUUCGGUAAAAUAGCAAGAAGGAUGGAAAAUGAGGCAGGACUGGCUGCAGCACAGUUUCAUGAAAGUAAUCAUUUUUGUUAUAAAAUCAUUAAGGCUUAAGCCACUGAAAUAAAGCAAAGCAAAGUGUCCUUCAAAUAAUUUGUUUAUGAUAAUGGUUCUAAGUGAGUAUUCAUUCAAACUUAUAAAUCAGGCCGCAAUAAAAAAAAGUUGGCCAUAAAAACCACUACUUGAGAGGAUUCAAUACUAAAUUUGAAAUUGAAUUAGUACUGCCCAAUAUUUCUUGUUCGAUUUCUGGUUUUUGCUGGUUUACGUCGCGAGGAAGAAUCAAUCAAAAACUAAAGUCAAUAAGCUGUGCUUAAUUGAUGUUAAGCUUCCGAUUUUUAUAACUAAUCUUCUAUCUUCAAUAAUUGUUUAAAUUGGGUUGUUAAUUACAACUAUUUGACUGGAAGUACUUGAUUAUAUUCGUGCUAUUGUUAGAAAAUAGACGUAAAUAAUCUACUGUUUAUUGAGAUUAAUUCUAUUCUGCAAUUCUUUUGCUGCAGAAAUUUCAGUUAUUAACAAUUGUGGUUCUCCAAAACCUGCACUGAAAAGAUUAUAGAAUUUUAAACAAUUUUCGAUUCAGUUAUUUCGGUUAAGAUAAUUUUCAACAUUAAAUAACAGAACGUAUAAAUGAAGGUUCAAUCAGUUUUGCCACUUUUUGGUCCAUUGAAAGAUGCUUCUUUUAUCAUUUAAUCAAUAUUGAAAAAAACGAACGAACAUUUACAACAAAUCUACAACUUUCGAAUUUAAUAUUUUUUCCCAAAUUGCAAAUUAGAUGUAAAAACGGCGUGGCCAAAGUUCAAUCAAUAUUCGUUAACUCAAAAUCAGAAUAGGUCUAGAAUUUUGCGUAUAGUUCGAAUGUGCAAUAAGAAGUUCAAUAUUCCAUUUAAAAACAUGUAAGUU
rnacentral:lncRNA from 1 species